AGGACUGAACUUGAUAGAUACUUGGCUGAAGAGUGUGAAGAAGAUACAAAAAAGUUUGAUAUUCUUGCUUGGUGGAAGGGGCAGUCUACUAGAUUUCCCAUAUUGUCCACAAUGGCUCGUGAUGUGCUCGCCAUACCAAUUUCCACAGUUGCUAGUGAAUCUGCCUUUAGCACAUCUGGGAGGAUUCUAGAUGAUUUUAGGACUUCACUAACUCCAUUUAUGGUUGAAGCUCUUGUUUGCACUCAAGAUUGGCUUAGAAGAGCAACUCCUAUCAAUAUUGAAGAAAAUACAGAAGAGUUGGCCAAACUAGAAGAAGAAAUUAUUCAAGAAUUCAAGGACAAGGCCAUUGUUGAUGCACAUGCUGCGCCGUCACAAAUCCAAGGCAGCAAAAAAAAGAUGGUUACAUCCACCAACAUCAGCUCACAGCCAAGCAAAAGCUCACAGCCAAGCAAAAGCUCCAAGAACAAGAGCUUAUCUAAAGAUAAAUGACCAUCUUGUGAUUGUGAAGGACUGACUGAACUACUGAAGUCUGAAGGUGCUGG